rfam:Nannochloropsis gaditana CCMP526 unplaced genomic scaffold scaffold313, whole genome shotgun sequence.
CCGACCCUAGCUCAGUUGGUAGAGCGCCUGACUGUAGAUGAUGAAGUUCCGUAUCGGGCGGUCACUGGUUCAAAUCCGGUGGGUCGGA